rnacentral:rRNA from 1 species
AUCGUAGUGACCUGCGGAGGUCAUUACCGAGUUAGGGUCCUUUGGGCCCGACCUCCUACCCUUUGUCUACCUUACCUUUUGUUGCUUCGGCGGACCCGUCCUUUCGAGGACCGCCGGAGGGUCUUAACCCGCCCUCUGGUCCGCGUCCGCCGGUGGCCCAAAUCCAAACUCUUGUUUAAACGUGUCGUCUAAGUCAUACAAACAAAUAAGUAAAAACUUUCAACAACGGAUCUCUUGGUUCUGGCAUCGAUGAAGAACGCAGCGAAAUGCGAUAAGUAAUGCGAAUUGCAGAAUCCGUGAGUCAUCGAAUCUUUGAACGCACAUUGCGCCCUUUGGCAUUCCGAAGGGCAUGCCUGUUCGAGCGUCAUUAUCACCCCUCAAGCUCCGGCUUGGUGUUGGGCUUUCGUCCCUAAUCAGACGGGCCUCAAAGAUAGUGACGGCGCCCCAGAUGGAACCGGUACGAGGAGCUUUUAUUCGAGCAUGUACACGGCGCGACUCUACGGGCGACGGUCUUUUACCUCAAAAGUUCUUUAAUUAGAUCUUUCAAGUGUUGACCUCGGAUCAGGUAGGAAUACCCGCUGAACUUAAGCUACUAAAAGGGGGCGGGAGGACUCUUGCUUUAUUUGAAUCUAUCAGGUAGGGAUACCGUGGACGAAAUAUACGAAGGAUGGUGAAGUAUUUCGGUCGUGUAUCAAGCCGGGAGU